rnacentral:rRNA from 1 species
GGGGGGGGGGCGGUGCUAAUACAUGCAAGUAGAACGCUGAAGAGAGGAGCUUGCUCUUCUUGGAUGAGUUGCGAACGGGUGAGUAACGCGUAGGUAACCUGCCUUGUAGCGGGGGAUAACUAUUGGAAACGAUAGCUAAUACCGCAUAACAAUGGAUGACACAUGUCAUUUAUUUGAAAGGGGCAAUUGCUCCACUACAAGAUGGACCUGCGUUGUAUUAGCUAGUAGGUGAGGUAACGGCUCACCUAGGCGACGAUACAUAGCCGACCUGAGAGGGUGAUCGGCCACACUGGGACUGAGACACGGCCCAGACUCCUACGGGAGGCAGCAGUAGGGAAUCUUCGGCAAUGGGGGCAACCCUGACCGAGCAACGCCGCGUGAGUGAAGAAGGUUUUCGGAUCGUAAAGCUCUGUUGUAAGUCAAGAACGAGUGUGAGAGUGGAAAGUUCACACUGUGACGGUAGCUUACCAGAAAGGGACGGCUAACUACGUGCCAGCAGCCGCGGUAAUACGUAGGUCCCGAGCGUUGUCCGGAUUUAUUGGGCGUAAAGCGAGCGCAGGCGGUUUGAUAAGUCUGAAGUUAAAGGCUGUGGCUCAACCAUAGUUCGCUUUGGAAACUGUCAAACUUGAGUGCAGAAGGGGAGAGUGGAAUUCCAUGUGUAGCGGUGAAAUGCGUAGAUAUAUGGAGGAACACCGGUGGCGAAAGCGGCUCUCUGGUCUGUAACUGACGCUGAGGCUCGAAAGCGUGGGGAGCGAACAGGAUUAGAUACCCUGGUAGUCCACGCCGUAAACGAUGAGUGCUAGGUGUUGGAUCCUUUCCGGGAUUCAGUGCCGCAGCUAACGCAUUAAGCACUCCGCCUGGGGAGUACGACCGCAAGGUUGAAACUCAAAGGAAUUGACGGGGGCCCGCACAAGCGGUGGAGCAUGUGGUUUAAUUCGAAGCAACGCGAAGAACCUUACCAGGUCUUGACAUCCCGAUGCUAUUUCUAGAGAUAGAAAGUUACUUCGGUACAUCGGUGACAGGUGGUGCAUGGUUGUCGUCAGCUCGUGUCGUGAGAUGUUGGGUUAAGUCCCGCAACGAGCGCAACCCCUAUUGUUAGUUGCCAUCAUUCAGUUGGGCACUCUAGCGAGACUGCCGGUAAUAAACCGGAGGAAGGUGGGGAUGACGUCAAAUCAUCAUGCCCCUUAUGACCUGGGCUACACACGUGCUACAAUGGUUGGUACAACGAGUUGCGAGUCGGUGACGGCAAGCUAAUCUCUUAAAGCCAAUCUCAGUUCGGAUUGUAGGCUGCAACUCGCCUACAUGAAGUCGGAAUCGCUAGUAAUCGCGGAUCAGCACGCCGCGGUGAAUACGUUCCCGGGCCUUGUACACACCGCCCGUCACACCACGAGAGUUUGUAACACCCGAAGUCGGUGAGGUAACCUUUUGGAGCCAGCCGCCUAAAGGUGGGAAAAGAG